GUUGACCUCGGAUCAGGUAGGAAUACCCGCUGAACUUAAGCAUAUCAAUAAGCGGGGAAAAGGACACUUUAUUUU
rnacentral:rRNA from 1 species